rnacentral:rRNA from 1 species
GCCUACCAUGCAGUCGAACGGUAGCACAGAGAGCUUGCUCUCGGGUGACGAGUGGCGGACGGGUGAGUAAUGUCUGGGAAACUGCCUGAUGGAGGGGGAUAACUACUGGAAACGGUAGCUAAUACCGCAUAACGUCGCAAGACCAAAGAGGGGGACCUUCGGGCCUCUUGCCAUCAGAGGUGCCCAGAUGGGAAAUAGCUAGUAGGUGGGGUAACGGCUCACCUAGGCGACGAUCCCUAGCUGGUCUGAGAGGAUGACCAGCCACACUGGAACUGAGACACGGUCCAGACUCCUACGGGAGGCAGCGUGGGGAAUAUUGCACAAUGGGCGCAAGCCUGAUGCAGCCAUGCCGCGUGUAUGAAGAAGGCCUUCGGGUUGUAAAGUACUUUCAGCGGGGAGGAAGGCGAUAAGGUUAAUAACCUUGUCGAUUGACGUUACCCRCAGAAGAAGCACCGGCUAACUCCGUGCCAGCAGCCGCGGUAAUACGGAGGGUGCAAGCGUUAAUCGGAAUUACUGGGCGUAAGCGCACGCAGGCGGUCUGUCAAGUCGGAUGUGAAAUCCCCGGGCUCAACCUGGGAACUGCAUUCGAAACUGGCAGGCUGGAGUYUUUGUAGAGGGGGG